CAGAGGGUGCAAACGUUGCUCGGAAUCACUGGGCGUAAAGGGCGUGUAGGCGGGAAUGUAAGUCGGGCGUGAAAGCCCCAGGCUCAACCUGGGAACUGCACUCGAAACUGCGUUUCUUGAGUAUCGGAGAGGAAAGCGGAAUACCUGGUGUAGAGGUGAAAUUCGUAGAUAUCAGGUGGAACACCAGUGGCGAAGGCGGCUUUCUGGACGAUUACUGACGCUGAGACGCGAAAGCGUGGGGAGCAAACAGGAUUAGAUACCCUGGUAGUCCACGCCGUAAACGAUGAGUGCUAGGUGCUGUGGGUAUUGACCCCCGCGGUACCGAAGCUAACGCAUUAAGCACUCCGCCUGGGAAGUACGGUCGCAAGACUA
rnacentral:rRNA from 1 species